rnacentral:rRNA from 1 species
AGCAGCCGCGGUAAUUCCAGCUCCAAUAGCGUAUAUUAAAGUUGUUGCAGUUAAAAAGCUCGUAGUUGAAUUUCGGGAUCAGUACGCUGGUCAUGCCUUUGGUAUGCACUGGUGUCACUGGUUUCUCCCUUCUGAAGAUCCGUGAUGUCAUUAAUUUGGUGUCGCGGGGAAUCAGGACUGUUACUUUAGAAAAAUUAGAGUGUUAAAGCAGGCUCACGCUUGAAUACAUUAGCAUGGAAUAAUGAAAUAGGACGUUUGACCCUAUUUUGUUGGUUUCUAGGAUCGACGUAAUGAUUAAUAGGGA